GACGAACGCUGGCGGCGUGCUUAACACAUGCAAGUCGAACGCAGUGGCGGACGGGUGAGUAACGCGUAAUCAACCUGCACUUCCGAGGGGGACGACAGUUGGAAACGACUGCUAAUACCACAUACUGAGGGCGGUGAUUGCGUCGGAUUAGCUAGUUGGAGGGGUAACGGCCCACCAAGGCGAUGAUCAGUAGCCGGUCUGAGAGGAUGAACGGCCACAUUGGGACUGAGACACGGCCCAGACUCCUACGGGAGGCAGCAGUGGGGAAUCUUCCGCAAUGGACGAAAGUCUGACGGAGCAACGCCGCGUGAGUGAUGACGGCCUUCGGGUUGUAAAGCUCUGUUAAUCGGGACGCGGUACCGGAAUAGAAAGCCACGGCUAACUACGUGCCAGCAGCCGCGGUAAUAC
rnacentral:rRNA from 1 species